UGCCGGCGACCGGCGCACGGGUGCGUAACGCGUAUGUAACCUACCUAUAACAGGGGCAUAACACUGAGAAAUUGGUACUAAUUCCCCAUAAUAUUCGGAGAGGCAUCUCUCCGGGUUGAAAACUCCGGUGGUUAUAGAUGGACAUGCGUUGUAUUAGCUAGUUGGUGAGGUAACGGCUCACCAAGGCAACGAUACAUAGGGGGACUGAGAGGUUAACCCCCCACACUGGUACUGAGACACGGACCAGACUCCUACGGGAGGCAGCAGUGAGGAAUAUUGGUCAAUGGACGCAAGUCUGAACCAGCCAUGCCGCGUGCAGGAAGACGGCUCUAUGAGUUGUAAACUGCUUUUGUACGAGGGUAAACUCACCUACGUGUAGGUGACUGAAAGUAUCGUACGAAUAAGGAUCGGCUAACUCCGUGCCAGCAGCCGCGGUAAUACGGAGGAUUCAAGCGUUAUCCGGAUUUAUUGGGUUUAAAGGGUGCGUAGGCGGUUUGAUAAGUUAGAGGUGAAAUCCCGGGGCUUAACUCCGGAACUGCCUCUAAUACUGUUAGACUAGAGAGUAGUUGCGGUAGGCGGAAUGUAUGGUGUAGCGGUGAAAUGCUUAGAGAUCAUACAGAACACCGAUUGCGA
rnacentral:rRNA from 1 species